GUAACAAGGUUUCCGUAGGUGAACCUGCGGAAGGAUCAUUACUGAGUGGCUGUAUUCGUGCUUCUCUUCGGAGACGCGAAGCUACCCGACCUGAUGUCAUUUUAUCCGAGGGCGCGCCCGCUUGAGAAGACAGCGGUUUGACGUUGUGGUGUUACCCGGACGAGGCGCUUGUCUCGUAAGGGGAAGCUUCCGGGUCGGGCCGUGGCGCGUUCCUUGGCACAACUUUCCGCGGAAGUGGUAGGCGUUGACUUGCCCGCCGCGGGCCAUACUUUUCACAACUCUCGAAGAAAACCUGAAGUCUGAAUACCAAAACAAAAACGAAAAGCAAAACUUUCAACAACGGAUCUCUUGGCUCUGGCAACGAUGAAGAACGCAGCGAAACGCGAAAGGUAAUGCGAAUUGCAGAAUCAGUGAGUCAUCGAAUCUUUGAACGCACAUUGCGCCUCUCGGUAUUCCGGGAGGCACGCCUGUUCGAGCGCCAUUACAAACUCCAAGCGUGGCUUGAUGUUGGGCGAUGUCUUUUUGCGAGAGCGGGAGACACGCCUGGAACGCGUUGGCGCCGCCGCCGGACCACGAGCGUAGCAAGACGAGAGUCAAUCGCAUCGAUUUGGUUUCCGACGGAGGUCCGCCUUGUGACUGCACUUUCGAGUGUAGUUGAAAAACUUCUCAAGUUUGGCCUCGGAUCAGGCGGGGAUACCCGCUGAACUUAAGCAUAU
rnacentral:misc_RNA from 1 species